CAGCCGCCGCGGGAAUACGUAGGUCCCGAGCGUUGUCCGGAUUUAUUGGGCGUAAAGGGAGCGCAGGCGGUUUAGUAAGUCUGAAGUUAAAGGCAUUGGCUCAACCAAUGUAUGCUUUGGAAACUGUUAGACUUGAGUGCAGAAGGGGAGAGUGGAAUUCCAUGUGUAGCGGUGAAAUGCGUAGAUAUAUGGAGGAACACCGGUGGCGAGAGCGGCCCUCUGGUCUGUCACUGACGCUGAGGCUCGAAAGCGUGGGUAGCGAACAGGAUUAGAUACCCCUGUAGUCCCUGUCUCUUAUACA
rnacentral:rRNA from 1 species